rnacentral:misc_RNA from 1 species
AUACUACAUGUCUUGGUGCCAAUGUAGAAUAUGGAAAAUUCUGUUUUAAAAAGCCCAAAUGUAAUGAUUGUCUAUGUGACUAUGUCCAUGUCUGCAUCCAUCUAUAAAACAUGAACAUGAUAUCCUUGCUCUCAAUCCAACCAUACAAUCAUGUAUAUAUAUUUGGCUAGGAUAUAGGAUUAGGUCUAAUAAAAAUACUUACGUCUUAGGAUGUUAUCAAAUGAGUGGUUAAUAUGGGAAAAAGAGAG